CCUACGGGAGGCAGCAGUGAGGAAUAUUGGUCAAUGGCCGGAAGGCUGAACCAGCCAUGUCGCGUGCAGGUCAGUGCCCUAUGGGCGUUAAACUUCUUUUGUGCGGGAGCAAUAAUGGUCACGUGUGGCCAGACGAGAGUACCGUACGAAUAAGCAUCGGUUAACUCCGUGCCAGCAGCCGCGGUAAUACGGGGGAUGCAAGCGUUAUCCGGAUUUAUUGGGUUUAAAGGGUGCGUAGGCUGUGAGGUAAGUCAGCGGGGAAAUGCCCCCGCUCAACGGGGUGAAGUGCCAUUGAUACUGCCUUGCUGGAAUGCGGAUGCGGUGGGAGGAAUGUGUGGUGUAGCGGUGAAAUGCAUAGAGAUCACACAGAACACCGAUUGCGAAGGCAUCUCACGAAUCCGCGAUUGACGCUGAUGCACGAAAGCGUGGGUAUCAAACAGGAUUAGAUACCCGUGUAGUC
rnacentral:rRNA from 1 species